rnacentral:lncRNA from 12 species
CACAGCAAUGAUUGAAAAGAAAAGCCACCUAUAUCCUCCUGCUAAGUUUCCCUUGAGAAGAAUGAGUAAAAUGAGCUCUAUAGCCUCAUAACCAUGGAAGGGAUUUCCUGUACAAUGUUCACAACUUUGGCAAGUGGCCACAUAUGGAUUCGAGAAGAUCAUGGUGAUUCAAGCAUGGCUAUGUUGAGUGAAGUCUAUGUGAUUUUCAUUUGGAGAAGAAGAGAGUUGAUUCAUCCUGAUUGGACAAUGGUGAAUGAGACUCAGGAGCUGUGUCUGCUUCCUGACUUCUUACUUGACCAGGGAGGAUGUGAAUGGUUGUGUGAAGGGGGUUGUUCCCACUCUACUGUGGGAACAAUUCCCAGGAAUGAUCUAUCUUCCUCUCUCACUGAGUGUCUACUGUGUAUUUUUAUGGCACUAAUUACUACAUGGGGGCCCUAA